rnacentral:rRNA from 1 species
GAUUCCUACGGGAGGCAGCAGUGGGGAAUAUUGGACAAUGGGGGCAACCCUGAUCCAGCCAUGCCGCGUGAGUGAUGAAGGCCUUAGGGUUGUAAAGCUCUUUCACCGGGGAAGAUAAUGACGGUACCCGGAGAAGAAGCCCCGGCUAACUUCUUGCCAGCAUCCGCGGUAAUAC